rnacentral:rRNA from 1 species
AUCGCAGAUGGUAACAAACGUUUAGAUGCUGUAAAUUCUAUUGUUUCUAAUGCUAGCUGCAUCGUAUCAGACGCUGUUUCUGGUAUGAUUUGCGAAAAUUCUGGACUAAUUGCUCCAGGAGGCAAUUGCUAUACUAAUCGUCGUAUGGCUGCUUGUUU